GGGCGCAUGGCCUAAUGGUAAGGCGUCAGAUUUCGGUUCCAGCUACGGUUAUACUGUUCUCUGAAGAUUGCAGGUUCGAUCCCUGCUGUGCUCG